CAGACUGGGACUUUACAAAAGAGCAGGACACACAGGAGCCUCCUCAGUGCGACCGGCUGCCUGUUUGUUCAGGCUGCUGAGCUGCUGCUGAUCGACCUGGACCUGAUCCCCUCAAACUGAAGGUCGUUGACUCACCUGAGAAGCUCCAGCAGCAGAAAUGAUCAUCAGACUGGGAAGACUGACACCAGGAUACUUCCGCCUCCUCCAGCGGCAGGUGUCAGGUGAGGUCCGGAUGCAGCCAGAGAGCAGCCUCAUCGAUCCCAUCGCCAUGGUGAUGGCCACAUUGGGGACGGGGGUGUCGCUGUACAGCGCCAGACAGAUGGCAGAGAGGGUCCAACUGAAACUCCCCAACACCUGAGAUCAAUGUAAAUGUAAAUAACUGAUGUCACUGUCAGAGCAGGUGUGUGUGUGUGUGUGUGUGUGUGUGUGUGUGUGUGUGAGAGAGUGUGUGUGUGUGUGUGUGUGUGUGUGUGUGUGAGAGUGUGUGAGUGUGACAGAUGUUUGUACGACAGAAGGUUUGAGGAGGUUUGUGAUGGCCGCGGACAGAGUUCAUGUGUUUGUGGUGUCGUGGAAGGAAAAUCUAAAGUGUGAGUGGAUGUUCAGUGGCUGCAGGAGGAAUCUGUCCUGUCACACUUUUUAUUUACGGUCACAUAUGCAGGUUACCUUUAACAGGUUGUCACCUUUUAGCAGAGACUGUGUUUUAAUGGAAUAAACGAGCAUCAGCAUCUGAGCAUCAUAGUUUGACCUGCAGCUGUUAAUAUUUCCUACAUUUUAUAGUUCAACAAAACACACAAGAAACAUGUUUAAUAAAAAUAACCACAGAAAAUCUAAUCAUUCUUAUUCUCACAGCAUCGCAGCUUAUUGUAUUUAUUGAUAUUAGUCACAAACUCACUUGUCCAGUCUUUAGGACGGUCGUACUGCGGCACCUUCAUGUCUGAGUAUUUAUUAUAAACAGUCACAGGAGCUCUUCUCAUUCAGUUUAAUAAGUUAUAACUUUUAUUUAAUGUUUGUAGCAGAUUAUUAAAGAAAAUGUCUGUAAAAUGCCACAAAAACAAACAUUCAAACUGUGCACAGUAACAAAUCUUGGUCAUUUGAUGAAUUCUUGAAUAAAUGAUUGAGAGUCACGUUGUCAGUAUGUGUGAUGUUUCAGUCUUUGAAGCGGUCUCUGGUUCUCAGGCCCGGUCCACGUGGAUCAGGUCUGUGGGAAACUGAAGGUGUCGGGUGACUGCACAAACUCUACAGAGCGACUCAUGUGAAUGAAACUCACACAGGCGAAGAGAUUUCACCGUGAGACUCCGACAUGAACCAGAGGCCGAGAUAAAAGUUCUCUGUGUUUAUAGUGUGUGUUUCCUCUGGGGUUUAAAGCCUUGCUCAAGGGUCUUUUACAGUGUUGCUCCAUAACUAACUAACUCUGUCUGUUCUGGGGCCAAAAUCUGCAUGGAAACAAUUAACUACAAUUUGUUAUGAACAUUAAAGUCCCUCAAAGAUUAACAUGAACUAAUAAAACGUACUAAUUAACAACUUAACAACUUAAAAAUGAAUAUUGAAUGUGAAACAUGUCGCUGAGCUCUACACAGAGUUUCACUGUCUUUCAGCUCAUUGUUUUGGACCUUCAUCUGUAUCUUGGUUCAGUGUCUUUCAGCUGUUGGUGUGAUAGAGGAGAAGUUUCUCUCUGAACGACCAUAUAAGUCAUUUUCAACCGUCUGAAACGACCCACAGGAGCGUCUCCUGAAACAGCGCCCCUAUGA